rnacentral:rRNA from 1 species
UACGUAGGGCGCAAGCGUUUGUCCGGAAUUAUUGGGCGUAAAGCGCGCGCAGGCGGUCCUUUAAGUCUGAUGUGAAAGCCCACGGCUCAACCGUGGAGGGUCAUUGGAAACUGGGGGACUUGAGUACAGAAGAGAAGAGUGGAAUUCCACGUGUAGCGGUGAAAUGCGUAGAGAUGUGGAGGAACACCAGUGGCGAAGGCGACUCUUUGGUCUGUAACUGACGCUGAGGCGCGAAAGCGUGGGGAGCAAACAGG